GACGAACGCUGGCGGCGUGCCUAAUACAUGCAAGUUGAGCGCUGAAGGUUGGUACUUGUUCCAACUGGAUGAGCAGCGAACGGGUGAGUAACGCGUGGGGAAUCUGCCUUUGAGCGGGGGACAACAUUUGGAAACGAAUGCUAAUACCGCAUAAAAACUUUAAACACAAGUUUUAAGUUUGAAAGAUGCAAUUGCAUCACUCAAAGAUGAUCCCGCGUUGUAUUAGCUAGUUGGUGAGGUAAAGGCUCACCAAGGCGAUGAUACAUAGCCGACCUGAGAGGGUGAUCGGCCACAUUGGGACUGAGACACGGCCCAAACUCCUACGGGAGGCAGCAGUAGGGAAUCUUCGGCAAUGGACGAAAGUCUGACCGAGCAACGCCGCGUGAGUGAAGAAGGUUUUCGGAUCGUAAAACUCUGUUGGUAGAGAAGAACGUUGGUGAGAGUGGAAAGCUCAUCAAGUGACGGUAACUACCCAGAAAGGGACGGCUAACUACGUG
rnacentral:rRNA from 1 species